AAAGCUGUAGCCUCGAUCCCAGGCCGAGUUUUCGCUUUUAUAACGGUUAGGCGAACAACUGGGCCUGGUACUAGUUGUCUGCGCAUGCGUCAAUCGUUUGUCAGAUUCUGACGAAUGGAUAUUCUCGUUCACUUUCGUGACAUUUAUAUUCGUGUACUAUCGUGUACUAGAAGUCAGUUCCCGUUUUAUCAUUAUUGGAAUCGAUUGGAAUGGCUCUUAGCUGAAGCUUCUCUCUUCUCUGAAGCUUAUUCUGAAGACUGAACAACAAGGGAAGAGGUAUAAAGCUUUGUCAAGCUUGUUAAGGUCAGAUAUUUUUGUGUGGGCCCUAUGGCCGGCUAUGCUAUCAAGUCUUGUUCAUGUUUGGCAAGAAUGUAGGUAGACUAUAGUUUCAUCAUUAAUAUGGUGGAUCAAGUGAAGAGUGUGAGCUAGAGAACUUGGUGCUGCCAUCAUCAGCUCGUCGACAAUGACACUAUAACCGAGAAAUUUAAUAUGUAUAGAUCUACACGUAUUUAAAAUGUCUACUUCUCUGUACAGGAGCAAUGGCUAAUAUCCAGCUAUCCCAACAGUGCUCCUCUUGGCUAUACUAACGGACGAGACUGGACAGUUUGAGACACAGGACUGGAGUAUGACCUGCUCAUUCGAGCGUUGCUGGGUAGCUCAGAGACAUCAAGAGAAUCUACGUUUUCUCAAGCAAUGAGUUACGAGUUGGGGCCUAGAAUCAGAGAAGUCCAGCAGCCUGCUAAAUCUUUUUGAAACGUAAUUUGAAGGCAUUCAAUCAUCCUGAAGUUGCCCUGGGUCACUGUAAUUGUGCUGCAGCACAACUGGCAACUCCCCAGGCCUUUGUGAAGCAGCUCCCUAUGUGCAUCUUUUGUGUACUCACUCUGUGCAUUUUCUGUGUACAAAUUUCUAUUAUUGAUUUAUUAAA